GUUUUUGUAUGUAUUUCAUCUCAAUCUGGAUCAGUUUUUAGCCCCAAACCCUAAUUCAAUUUCCGACUAAUAUUUUCGAGUCGAGGAUCCCAUAUUUUCUCUCUCUAUUAAGUAAUACAUAUACACAUACUUUUAUAAAAAAAAUUAAUAUUAUAUUUUAGGGUGAUGAUUAUGUAGAACAUCUUGGGUUCAAGAUAUCAUCAUGAUUGCGUCGACAAUCAUCAGGCAAGGAAAAAGCUUCUACAUCACAGUCUGCAGUGGAAGUGCCAAUUGGGUUGGAAGAAGACUUUCAGGGUUUUGUGGAUCUUGUGAAACUAAAAGCAGCGGCAGCGAAAAAGUGGUGAAGAAAUUUCAGCUGAUAUGCAAGCAUUGGCUGCUGAAAAGUACCAUGAGUUAGUUGAAGCAGACUCUGAUGUUGAUGACGAACUGCGGAAGCAUUUCUCUGUGACGAACCUAUAUCGUCUGACCUUGAGGGAGUACAACCACUUCUUGAUGAUGUUAUUAGUUAUUUGUCUAAUCCACUUAAAAUUGACAAUUUUUCCCUUGACCAGUCAAAGAAAGAAGAGAAGGUCGUAACCAGUUCUUCACAUUCAUUUGUGUUCAUCUCAAUGACCCUAAUACUGGAACUAAUUUCUGCAUCCUUUGAUGUAGUAAUGGUUAAGUUGGCUGGAAUUCCGGCUCGGCCUAUGGUUGCACUGGCUUUUUGUUGGAAGAACGCUAAUCUGGUCGUCUGACAUAUGUAAGGUGAAAGUGUGUAUGAAAUUAAUCCUCAAAAGGGGCAUAGUCAUUUGAGGUUUUCUAAUAUGUACUCACAAGCGGAUGAUGGUGACGGCUUUGCAGGUUCAUCAUCGCUGACAGGCUUUCCACCUGAAGUAACUGGUGGGGCUGGUUUGUCUUCCGAUGAUGGAGGAGACUCUGUAGAAACUGGUGUCGUUGGCGAACUAGAGGAUGGAGGGGUGCUUGUUGGUGGUCCAGAGGCUGCGGCUGCUAUGGUCUUAAUCUCGACUUUCAUGCCUCGGUCACAAUGGCCAGGUGUGCCACAAAUGAAAUACCGACUUCCAGCAGCCGUGAGACUGACGGUCACGGGAGUAAGAGCGCCAUUAGAGAUCGGGCCACUUGUUGUGCAAGAAUCGUAAUCAUCCUUGGAUACCUCCAACACGUCGUGGUUAGGUAAAAAAGUAAAAACUGCAACAACGUACACAACAUCAAGAUUAUUAUUACAUCGUAAAAAAGAGAAAUACCGGCUUCUGGCAGCCAGUGGACUGAUGGUUACUUUGGUGUCUAGAUGGGUAGGUUUGCUUAAGGCUUAGGCUUAUGUAUGCAUGUAUAUAU